rnacentral:rRNA from 1 species
UACGAAGGGUGCAAGCGUUAAUCGGAAUUACUGGGCGUAAAGCGUGCGUAGACGGCCUGUUAAGUCGGAUGUGAAAGCCCCGGGCUCAACCUGGGAAUGGCAUCCGAUACUGGUGGGCUGGAGUGCGGUAGAGGAGAGCGGAAUUCCCAGUGUAGCGGUGAAAUGCGUAGAGAUCGGGAGGAACAUCCGUGGCGAAGGCGGCUCUCUGGACCAGCACUGACGUUGAGGCACGAAAGCGUGGGGGAGCAAACAGG